rnacentral:lncRNA from 1 species
GUGGCCCUGGGUGGAGCCGCCGUAGCUGCCGCCUGCCGCGCCGGCGGUGGCCACCCUUAGGCGACGCGGCGUGCCUGCGCGAGCCUCGGCGGCGACCGCGCAAGGGUAGCAGGGGCAGCUAGAGCCCCGUCCAUGCUGACCACCACGCUAGGCCUGCGUUGCUUCAGCUCCACCUCGUCCCGUUUGCCGCACUGGCCACUCGCCGCCUGGCUGCGCAGGUCCGGCCUCGCUGUGCGCGCCGUCAAUUGCAGCAAGCGCUGGUGCGUCGGCCUUGCGGCUCCAGCGACAGAAGUGGCCGCAGCACCCAUCCAAUGGGACCUGAACCUCCACUGCAGCCCAUAGAAAAAAACAGAGCAGGGCCGCUGUGAAAGAAUGGCACAGGAAAAUCGGAUGGCCACUGGCGUAGCUCAGCAAGCCAACGGAGCACUGCGCCGCCUGUGGAGCUUCCUGCGUCGCAAGGUAAUGGGUUAAAUAUUGAAAAGUCCAUAUAUCUGUAAUUAAACUAGGAUUCCUGAUAAUCCAGAGUUAAAGCUUCAAAAAAAUUUAAACAAAGAAUGAAUCCUUUGUCGAUAGUUCAGGACAUAUAUGAUUUCUAUUCUUGCCUUCCCGUGGAAGGUUCCUCUUGCAUAGAACUAUUCAUGUUUAGUGAUACUGACAAAGCCUCAGGUACUCAGAUUGGGCAUAAGCAUGAGUUGUUCUUAAUAUCCUUUUUGCAUAUAUAGCCUUCGAGGUUCAGUCAUUGCCAUGCUUCUGUCUCCUUUUGUUAUCAAUCUGUGAGUUUAGAUGUUUGUCUUCUAUCAUAUUGUGCAUUGGCCAAAACUUGGCAGCUCACUCAUUUUGCAAAUUUAUUAGGUUAGUGCAAAUCUAAAUAAAAAAAUUAUGGUAAUUUGGGGUACAGUAAAGCAGGAUGGCAUCAGAGAUCUGUAUUCAUCCCUUAGGCCUUUGCAAACUCAAAUGUGUUUACAUUUUGUGGUUCCUACUGUUAGUGGUCUGAUCAAUGUUAUAAAAUAAGAUUUCAUCUUACUGAUCUUUGAAACAAUACACGAAACAGCAUUUCCCAAACCUUUUAUAGUUCCUUGGUCUGCAUUUCCAUUAACAGAUAAGUAAACAUCUUAGCUAUUUAGUUAUAUCAGUGAGCUAAAUAUCCCUUCAUCAGUUCAGUUUGUUGUACAAAUGGCUAGAAACCAGGUGCAGAUUAGUUUCCAUAUGCAAAAUAAAAAAAAAUUCUUUGUUGGUUACUAUACUAUUCAUAAUUUCAUAUAUGCAGUAAGUUCUUAGGACCCUACUAUUCAAACUGAAAUGUAUGCAUCAGGCAAUUCAUUAUGCACCUACUUGUUGUAUAUUAAACAAAUCAGUUCUUUGUAUGUAUAAUUACCCCCUAACCUGUUGUAUCUCAUUUAUAAUUUUUUUAAAAAAAUAUAUAUUUUGAUUGCAUUUCAACUUCUACCAUUUUUUUGUUAUUUUUUAAUCUGCAUAUUGGGUUGUUCAUUUCUAGAAACAGACCAAAUAUUGAUGUAAACGUUCUCUACCAUUGUCAUUUUAGUUGCUUGGAUAAGUAAACUUUGAUAAAUAAAUGUUUCAUGCAGACCCAACAAUCAGAUUGGUUAGUGAUCCGAACUCAGGAGAUCUCAUAGAGGUUCAGAAACCUGCAAAGGCCAUGGUUUACAUAAGAUAAAAGGUUAGCUCCAAGAAGGUGUCGCAGGUACUAUCCAAACUGAACAAACCUGUGUAUGGGUAAAAUAUGUUGGCACCUGCACACAAGCACCAGGUAAGCAGACCCUGCUCACCUUCCCUCUCCCACUCCCCUGCACCAAGGAAGAGGAAGAGCCCUGAGCUCCCUCACUCACUCACGCAGCACACACACACACACAGCUUUCAGACUUGAACUGAAAGCUGGAGAACUGAAUGAGUGGCAAUGAACUGAGUUUUCCAUUGCAAUAGGUA